rnacentral:rRNA from 1 species
AACGAACGCUGGCGGCAUGCCUAACACAUGCAAGUCGAACGCGUGUAGCAAUACACGAGUGGCGGACGGGUGAGUAACGCGUGGGAACCUGCCCAAUGGUAGGGAAUAACUGCGGGAAACUGCAGCUAAUACCCUAUGCUCCCUACGGGGGAAAGAUUUAUCGCCAUUGGAGGGGCCCGCGUCGGAUUAGCUAGUUGGCGGGGUAACGGCCCACCAAGGCUACGAUCCGUAGCUGGUCUGAGAGGAUGAUCAGCCACACUGGGACUGAGAUACGGCCCAGACUCCUACGGGAGGCAGCAGUGGGGAAUAUUGGACAAGUAGGGGGAAACCCUGAUCCAGCAAUGCCGCGUGAGUGAAGAAGGCCUUAGGGUUGUAAAGACUCUUUCGGCGGGACGAUGGUGACGGUACCCGCAGAAGAAGCCCCGGCUAACUUCGUGCC